UACAGAGGGUGCGAGCGUUAAUCGGAGUAACUGGGCGUAAAGGGCGCGUAGGCGGUUUACCAAGUGAGUUGUGAAAUUCCUGGGCUUAACCUAGGGUGUGCAGAUUAGACUGGUGAACUGGAGUGCAGUAGAGGGUGGCGGAAUUUCCGGUGUAGCGGUGAAAUGCGUAGAUAUCUGGAGAAUACCGGUGGCGAAGGCGGCAUCCUGGACCGGCAUUGACGCUGAGGAGCGAAAGCUAGGGGAGCAAACG
rnacentral:rRNA from 1 species